rnacentral:rRNA from 1 species
UCUGGCAAUGAUGGCGAAGAGGUCACACCCGUUCCCAUUCCGAACACGGAAGUUAAGCUCUUCAGCGCCGAUGGUAGUUGGGGGUUUCCCCCUGUGAGAGUAGGACGUUGCCAGGC